rnacentral:rRNA from 1 species
GGGAUGGGUAGAGAAUACCAAGGGGAUCGGGAGAAUCUCUGUUAAGGAAUUAGGCAAAUUAGAUCCGUAACUUCGGGAAAAGGAUCGCCCCAUUAGCGUGACGACGACAAGCUUGUCUGAGCGUGAAGGGGCCGCAGAGAAAUGGCUCUAGCGACUGGUUACCAGAACCACAGGUCUGUGCUAAGUCGAAAGACGACGUAUACGGGCUGACGCCUGCCCAGUGCCGGAAGGUUAAGGGGAGCGGUGCAAGCUGCGAACUGAAGCCCCGGUGAACGGCGGCCGUAACUAUAACGGUCCUAAGGUAGCGAAAUUCCUUGUCGGGUAAGUUCCGACCCGCACGAAUGGCGUAACGACUGGAGCACUGUCUCAACAGAGAACCCGGUGAAACUGAAUUAGGAGUGAAGAUGCUUCUUACCCGCAGCUGGACAAAAAGACCCCGUGGAGCUUUACUGUAGCUUGACAUUGGGUUAGAACUUAGGUUGUGUAGGAUAGGUGGGAGACUGUGAAGCUGGGCCGCCAGGCUCGGUGGAGUCGUCGGUGAAAUACCACUCUGCUUAAGUUUUGGCUCCAACCUUUGCCGUAAUCCGGUGAGGAAACAGUGUCAGGUGGGCAGUUUGACUGGGGCGGUCGCCUCCUAAAGAGUAACGGAGGCGCGCAAAGGUUCCCUCAGGCUGAAUGGAAACCAGUCGUAGAGUGCAAACGCAUAAGGGAGCUUGACUGCGAGACGGACAGGUCGAGCAGAGACGAAAGUCGGCGUUAGUGAUCCUAUGGCACCGAGUGGAAGGGCCAUGGCUCAACGGAUAAAAGCUACCCCGGGGAUAACAGGCUAGUCUUCCCCAAGAGUUCACAUCGACGGGAAGGUUCGGCACCUCGAUGUCGGCUCGUCACAUCCUGGGGCUGGAGUAGGUCCCAAGGGUUGGGCUGUUCGCCCAUUAAAGUGGUACGCGAGCUGGGUUCAGACCGUCGUGAGACAGGUCGGUCUCUAUCCGCUGUGGGCGUAAGGGAAUUGAGGAGAGCUGCCCCUAGUACGAGAGGACCGGGGUGGACGGACCUCUGGUGUGCCAGUUGUGCUGCCAAGUGCAUGGCUGGGUAGCUAAGUCCGGAAUGGAUAACCGCUGAAAGCAUCUAAGUGGGAAGCCAGCUCCAAGAUAAGUUCCCUCACAGGGUUAACCUGGUAAGUGCGCAGGAAGACCACCUGCUUGAUAGGCGGCAAGUGUACAGGCUGAGAGGCCUUUAGCUAAGCCGUACUAAUGCACGAGGGCUUAAACC